rnacentral:lncRNA from 1 species
AUGGGAGGCUUUGGACGCGUAGAGCUGGUCAAGCUUAAAGAUUCAGAAGACACAGCAUUUGCCUUAAAGUGCAUUAAGAAAAAGCACAUUGUGGACACCAGGCAGCAAGAGCACAUCUAUUCAGAAAAGAUCAUUCUUCAACAGACCAAUUCAAACUUUAUUGUAAGGUUGUUCCGGACAUUUCGAGAUGAUAAGUUUGUUUACAUGCUGCUUGAGGUUUGCCUGGGAGGAGAACUCUGGAGCUUAUUAAGGGACAUGAGUUGCUUUGAUGAGCCCACGGCCCGCUUCUGCACUGGAUGUGUGCUGGAGGCUUUUGAUUAUCUUCAUGGCAAAGGCAUCGUCUACCGAGACCUGAAGCCAGAGAAUCUUCUUCUGGAUGCCGAAGGCUAUGUCAAAAUGGCUGAUUUUGGCUUUGCCAAAAAGAUUGGACUAGGUAAGAAGACUUGGACAUUCUGUGGCACUCCCGAGUAUGUGGCUCCUGAGGUCAUCAUGAAUAAGGGUCAUGACUUUGGAGCAGACUGUUGGUCCUUGGGCAUUCUCAUCUUUGAACUCUUGAUUGGAAGCCCUCCAUUCACAGGGUCUGAUCCAAUCAGGAUUUAUACCAUGGUUCUUCAUGGAAUAGAGAAAGUAGACAUUCCUAAGAGGAUCAGCAAGCGUCCAGAAGAUCUCAUACGGAGACUUUGCAAACUCAAUCCAGCAGAACGGCUUGGGAAUAAAAAGAAUGGCAUCAUAGAUAUAAAGAAACACAAAUGGUUUCAAGGUUUCAACUGGGAAGGAUUGAGACGCCGGAAGCUGAUGUCUCCUCUAAGGAGAGAGCUCAAGGGACCUCUGGAUCACAGCUAUUUUGACAUGUUUCCCCCUGAGCUCGAAGAGCCUCCAGAUGAAUUCUCUGGCUGGGAUAAAGACUUCUGAAAAACAAGCUGUUUUCAUAGCUUUGCUCAACUUACUUUUUUCAUACACGAUUGAUUUUGUAAGUGCUCAGAAGCUCAAAGGAGUUCUCAUCUAAAGUGAUGGUGGACUUUGUCUGUGCUGGACAACCAAAUGACUUGUUCAGAUGGACAGCAAUCUGGUCAAACCCAGUUAAAUGUAUGAUUAAAAGAUUUUUGUGGUGAUAUCUCAUUAUAAAAUGUAUAAAUAAAUCACUGUUGCCUUAAUUAUAUCUAUGCGUAAGAUGUUUAAACCUAAUUUUGAUGGAACUAACAUGUCAAUAAGUCCUUGACAAAUCAAUUAGAUGUGUUUGUACAAUGUAUGAUUUAUUUUUUGUACUUAUUCAAGUGUUACAGCUCAACACGUGUGUUAAAAUCUGUUAAAGGUGUAACUCUUGUUCCCCGAAGAUGAAGUUAGGCUAUGUCAGACCGUCAGUAUAGGGAUUUACUAUUAAUGGUCCUAAAUAAUUCAUAUUAGCCCCUUUCACACAGUGAUACCGGUAAAUAUCCGUAAAAUUUCCGGAACGACUUUACCGGUAAAUUUAAAAAAAGCCUGUUCACACAGGCGAAGACGUUGCGGAAUUUUUCCGGAAAAGAGCAUUCACACAUCCAUUCCAAAAUGCCGGUAAAUUCUGACAUCAUUUACAAGAAAUGAGCUCUAAACAGCUGCGCUUGUGUUUGUAAACAUUUGACUACAUUACAAACUCUGUGGAUGGAUCAGUAUUGAGUAAAACUCCAAUGAAAACAUAGAGAAACACUUUCGCUUGUCGAGAUGUUUAUGAUAUGUGUGUGUGCUGGCACUAUGGGCGCUCACGGGCACACGAAAAGUUUGAAGGUAAACAAACAACGGAUUAUCAUAAAUAUUUUAUCGAUAAUUAUUUACACAGUUAGCAUUAAGUAGGAACAUAGAAACGUUAUCUUACUAACAUCUAGCAGCUAAAGGUGUCUGGAAAAAUAUUCAAAGGCUUUUAUUCGCAUAAACCGCGCGCACGUGAAUGCGUCUGACUGUUCUGAUUGGCUAAAGUAGACGUCUCAUGUCAGCACGUUCUAAACGUGUACGCGCUCUUUCCGGCAAUCUUCCUUCUGCAUUCACACAGCGCAGCAUUCCGGCAAAUUACUGGUAAUGUUACAACUUCUCUUUCUGAAAAAUAGCCGUAACGAAUUUACUGGUAUUUUCAAAAAGGGCCUGUUCACAAAUACAAAUACAAAGGUCUGUAUGUGUGAAAGGGGCUAUUGUGGACGACGCAGUGGCGCAGUCGGUAGUGCUGUCGCCUUACAGCAAGAAGGUUGCUGGUUCGAGCCUCGGCUUGGUUAGUUGGCGUUUCUGUAUGGAGUUUGCUUGUUCUCCCUGCGUUCACGUGGGUUUCCUCCGGAUGCUCUGGUUUCCCCCACAGUCCAAAGACAUGUGGUACAGGUGAAUUGGGUAAGCUAAAUUGUCCGUAGUGAAUGGGUGUGUAUGGUUGUUUCCGAGAGAUGGGUUGCAACUGGAAGGGCAUCCGCUGCGUAAAACAUAUCCUGAAUAAGUAGGGGGUUCAUUCCGCUGUGGCGACCUCAGAUUAAUAAAGAGACUAAGCUGAAAAGAAAAUGAAUGAAUAAUUUGUAUUGUAACCAACUCAAAGGGAACUGAUUUUAUACAGUUCUCACUCAAUGUUUAAUCUUUGGUUAGGUUACAAGAUGUUCUGAUUUCUGAGACAGUUUUAGAAACCAUAUGCAGAAGUUUUAUUAAUGGGUUUAGGCAGAGACAUCAGUGAGUCAACAGGUGGGAAGUUGGCAACAUAUAAGCAGUCCAAUCCAGUCAACAAACACAGGGGCAAAUCCAGACAACAUAGUGAGAGUGCAGGCAGAGGUUCAGUAUAGCAACUAGCAGUCCAAAACAGAUCAAGAUACACAGGGGCAAAUCCAGUAGACGUGGUGAGAAGGCAGGCAAAAGUUCAAGGCAACAAUAAGCAGUCCAAAACAGAGCAAUAGGGCAAAGUGAGAUAACGUACUUGAUCAAAGCAGGCAGGGUCAUACACAGGCAGGCAGUCAUGAAAGUCUCUUGGAAAACCGCUUAGUAAUCCAGGUAGCCUGGCAAUACUUCACAAGAAAGCAUUCUUCUUCUUCUUCUUGUGUGUUUUAUGGCGGUUGGCAACCAGCUUUUGGUGCAUUACCGCCACCAUCUGGAUUGGAGUGUGGAUCCGGAGUUAACUAACCCAUGUAUUAUAGUUAAACAAAGCCCCACCACAACAAAAAACAUAAAAAAUAAAUAAAAAAAAACUUUUUCCUAUACAUAUAAAUAAAUUACUAAAUAAAUCCCAACUUACUAAUGUCCCAAACUUUUGAUAUUUCUUUCUCUAUAAUACCUCUAUAUGAUAUAGAUAACUAUUCAUCUAAAUACUAAAUUCUAUUAAUCAACCCUGUGUCUUUCAAAUAGUUAUAAACAUGCAAGAAAGCAUGGCCUGAGCUGUUGCUAAAAUACAGCACAAACAGGAAGUGACUGGAGAGGGAGAGGAGCUGAGUCAGUAGUUGGGCGAGGGCUCCCUCUGCUGGCGUGGCGUUACAAUUAUAAAAUGAUCAGUAGGGCCAGACAGAAUCUGUGGACAUUUUUUGCUGUUUCUGCUGAGAAUUUUGUUAAAAAUCUGUGGAUUUAUGUGGAAUGAUUUUUAAGAGUAUGAUAAUUAAAACCUUAAUAAAUGAAAUAAAAAAUUAUAUCUUUUUAGCUUUAAUGUUUGCAUUGCAAAUCCAAUUAGAUCCACGUUAUUAGGUAAACAAAGC